AUUGAACGCUGGCGGCAUGCCUUACACAUGCAAGUCGAACGGUAACAGGUCUUCGGAUGCUGACGAGUGGCGAACGGGUGAGUAAUACAUCGGAACGUGCCCAGUAAUGGGGGAUAGCUCGGCGAAAGCCGGAUUAAUACCGCAUACGCCCUGAGGGGGAAAGUGGGGGACCGCAAGGCCUCACGUUAUUGGAGCGGCCGAUGGCUGAUUAGCUAGUUGGUAGGGUAAAGGCCUACCAAGGCGACGAUCA
rnacentral:rRNA from 1 species